rnacentral:rRNA from 1 species
AUAUGCAGCCAUAGCACCCUGAGAAUACCCCAUUGCAUCUGAUCCAGGAAGCUAAGCAGGGUCGGGCCUGGUCAGUACUUGGAUGGGAGACCAGCUAGGAACAGAGAGGUUCUGCUGCCCCUC